AUUGAACGCUGGCGGCAAGCCUAACACAUGCAAGUCGAACGAGUGGCGGACGGGUGAGUAAUGUAUGGGGAACUGCCUGAUGGAGGGGGAUAACUAAUGGAAACGGUAGCUAAUACCGCAUACUAUAGGCUGUGCCCAGAUGGGAUUAGCUAGUAGGUGGGGUAAAGGCUCACCUAGGCGACGAUCCCUAGCUGGUCUGAGAGGAUGACCAGCCACACUGGAACUGAGACACGGUCCAGACUCCUACGGUAGGCAGCAGUGGGGAAUAUUGCACAAUGGGCGCAAGCCUGAUGCAGCCAUGCCGCGUGUAUGAAGAAGGCCUUAGGGUUGUAAAGUACUUUCAGCGGGGAGGCGUUACCCGCAGAAGAAGCACCGGCUAACUCCGUGCCAGCAGCCGCGGUAAUUC
rnacentral:rRNA from 1 species